rnacentral:rRNA from 1 species
CUUGAACUUUAUAAGAGGUCCAGCCUGCCCAGUGACUCUGUUCAACGGCCGCGGUAUCCUAACCGUGCGAAGGUAGCGUAAUCACUUGUUCUUUAAAUGUGGACUAGUAUGAAUGGCACUACGAGGGUUAUACUGUCUCCUUUUUCUAAUCAGUGAAACUAAUUUUCCCGUGAAGAAGCGGGAAUACAACUAUAAGACGAGAAGACCCUAUGGAGCUUUAAACGACCUAGCAAUUACUUCUAAAAUUAUAAAUUUCAGAAUACUCAUUCUUUAAGCAAUAUGUCUGCAAGUUUUUGGUUGGGGUGACCAUGGAGAAUAACACAACCUCCAUAUUGAAUGAAUUUUUAUUCUAAGCUAAGAAUUACUAAUCAAAGCAUCAACACACUGACAUUUAUUGACCCA